rfam:Triticum aestivum genome assembly, contig: Triticum_aestivum_CS42_TGACv1_scaffold_291499_4AL
UACGUACUUCCUCCGUCCGAAAAAUACUUGUCAUCAAAAUAGAUAAAAAAAAAUGUAUAUAAAACUAAAAUACAUCUAGAUACAUGCUCUUUUAUCCAUUUUAAUGACAAAUAUUUUUGGACGAAGGGAGUAACAC